CACUUGAAAGGACCAGUUAAAUGUCUAUGUGAUGCUUGGAAUUCAGCGUUAGAAAAAAAUCCUGCCGCCCGUCCUCACUCCAGUGCCAGGGUUUUACUACGGUAAGAUAUUUGUGUCAUUUCUGUACUUAGUCUACCAGAUUCCAAGCUGAAUUUCAAAUCUAUUGAAAUAGAAGUGAGCUGAAUUCACUUCUGUUCUACACAGUGAACAGUACAGAAGCAGAGACACUUUCAGGAGGGAAAAAGUGUUAGGUUUAAUAAUAGAGAAGAGAGCUGCUCAUCUGGUUUUAUUGUUCCUGUUGUCCAGAGAGAUGCCUCGGUUUACAGAGUUAAGAGGAGGGCAGACGCUCUCAGACUGCUUUAUUUCCUAAGGUCAUUAUCACAAUUCAAACAAUUCUUUAAAUUGUUAACUCUCUUUAGUAAGACUUCCUAACAGGUCUGGAUUAGUGAAGUGCUAGAUUAGGAAGUACUUUUAUCUGUUUUGUCUUCUCAAAAGGUGCACACUAGUACAGAAGAAUGUAUGUGUUUGCGCCCUUCCUGCACACCCUGAGCCCAUUCCCCAGAAGAGAACUUCUGACUGUUCUUGUUUUUUGCACCUCUGAUCGUUGUGUCUCUAUCCCCAAGUAAUAAACUUAUAUUUAGGCUUCUAGAUGUAAUAACUUUACAUGAUAUCUAUUGAUUUUCCUAGAUUUAAACAUUAAAGUUUUAUAGUUCAUCAUCAGUAAUCUUCACCUGUCCCUCUCAAUACUUAGUGUUUUUACUAAUUAUUUAUGAAUUUAAGUAUACAGAAUAUAAAUUCCCUGCUCCACUAAGCUGACUCUGCAUCUCAAUUCCUCACUGAUAUUGAAGCCAACCAUACACCUCUCCCCCACCCUUCCACAGCUCACCUUGGGGUGAGCUACACUUUUCCUUUAAGAGCAUCAAGACUGUCAUCAUUCAUAUCUUGAAGUAAACAGCAAUCAAACCUUUUUUUAUCACAGACUGGUUCUAAAAGUUGAAAAUCGACAACCAGCAUUUACAUUAUGAUGUAUCAAUAUUAUUUAAUGCCCGGUUAAGAGGUGUGCUAAAAUGACAUGUCAUUCUUUACAAACUCAAUGCCAUGAUCCCGUGAUGACUAUGAGAAAUUUAAGGGAAAAAAAUUCUAAUUUUAAGAUUAAAUGGACCCAUUUUUUUCUCACUGACCGCUUAAAACCAUGACCUUUCCUCCCAUAUUUACGCUAACGUAGGAGAUUUUUCCUGGGGUUUCUAAUGGUUUUCUUUCUGGUAGAGUGGGGAGUAGGGUAACAGAUGAUCCCCAGGCUGUCAAUCCUUCCUUUCCCUCAGAUGUCUCAUACUCCUGCGCCACUUUGGGAUGAUCGUUGCCAUCAUUCCUGGAUUUGCUUUGAUGCCCAGACUCUGCCAUCAGCAGGUGGUGGAAAGAAGCCACACCCCCGUUGCUGAAAUGUUUGACGACACCGAUCAUCAGGACACAGUGAGGUGGCCAUGUGCCAGCUAGGAAGAUCUCAUUAGAAUCUGACCUGCUGACACCCCAAGCUCAGACUUCCAGCCUCCAAAUAAGAAAUAAAUUCCUGUUGUUUAAGCCAUCCAGUCUAUGGUAUUUUGUUAUGGCUGCCUGAGCUAGGGACACUAGCGCAAGGCGUGGGAGGGACCUAAGCUGGUGGAUAUACAGUCUACCUGAGUCUCUUUAAUAAGGAGGAAGACUUACGUUCUUCAGAAUUUCAAAGUGUUUAUCAUCUUUGAAGGAAGCAUUGAAUGCUCAAAUAUCAAACAGGAAAAAAUAUUCUAGUAUAUUUGUACCCCUAAUUUGUGGAGAAGGUCCUUUCUGUUGCGUUAACUCUUUAACUAGCCAAGUUGUUUUCCUUUUAUAGUUUAGUUUGGCGUCUGCAAAGCAGUAUGUGCUAUCCUGCCAGUAAUUAUAACAAUAUUUAUGGAGUCACGAUUAGUAUUUCAGAUUUCUGUACAUCAGCUACUUAUCCUAAGAGGAUCAGAGGCUUUGAGUAAUCUGUUCAUAUUCACCAUGUUGGUACCAUGAAGCAGUUCUGGACUGAAACAAAGACCUGGUGUUUUCUAAGACUGCCCUUCCCAUGAAUCCCACCGUCCAGGUAAGCUCUCCGUCAGCUUCUUUUUAGAUUUUGGAAAAGGAACAGAAUAUUGUAAUUACAGUGCGUAUGUCACUUUUUCAGUACAGUAUUCCAGACCUGGGAGCUGUUUCUGUGUCAGAAAGUGCCCAUCUCUACAGCUGUUGAGAGCAACAGGAAAGAGUUGUUUGGUGAUUUGGUGUCGAACCAAGGUGAAAAGUGUCAUACAGGAACCCUCCCCACCUGAGCCUCCCAGACUCGGCUUUUCUCAGGAAAAAGAAAUACGAUUGGCGGUCCUGGGAGAUGACGCACUUCCGGCGCGCUGCGAAGACCGAAGCCAAGACAGUCGAGACGUGUAGGUGUGGCCUUAGGUGAGCGGGCGCUGCUGGAGGAUUUGGGCGCAGGCGCCGAGCUUGAAGCUGGAGCUGAGAUCCGGGGCAGGGCUGCUGCCCCGCGCCGGCCUGUGGGGAAGCGGGGGCGGGGCCGGCGCGAG